UCUUUUGUUUUUGGGUACCAUCAGCUAGUGUUGGUGCGGGCGGCCUGUGAACUGAUCAGUCACCCACUGGUUUGCUAAGGAGGAGAGCUCUAUAUGGUCUCUGGUCCAAAGGCGUGUCUCUAUACCCACGGGGGGCAACAUAGUGCUAUGUGGUCCACCAAAUUAUCCGAGAAGCUAAAACACUAGCGUCGGUACAAGCUUCCGGAAAUGAGAGGCGAGGCGUGUGUUGGUGACCAGUAAACCACUAAGAUGAAUUUUAAGACACCUUGAUGUUCCUCUGAAGAUUAUUGAUUGCAACUCUAAUGAACCCUCCAACCCAACCAUAAGCAUUUGGGGUCUAUUAAGAGGCGAGGCCCUUUAAGACGCCUUAGGACGACAACAACACCAUACAUCUCUCAGUGUAACUAGAGAGAACAGACGAGUUAAAUUUGACGACAGUAAUUACGGAAAAAUUAAGUCAUCUUAGGGGACCUUGGAUAGGAUUCUUAAAGGUUCAGACGAUUGUUAUUCCAAGUACGAUGGACCCAAGCGGCAAGACUUGCUGAGCAGGUGGACACUAUGGGCACUUUCUCCACCAGUAUAAGCAACAUGUAACACGACACUAUACAGAGCAGCUGAGGACCACUUGGUGUUAAUGAGUGACCCACAGACGUCGCACCGGUCACCCUCCCCGGAACUGCAUAGCGAU